UUAAAUUGAAGAGUUUGAUCAUGGCUCAGAUUGAACGCUGGCGGCAGGCCUAACACAUGCAAGUCGAACGGUAACAGGAAGCAGCUUGCUGCUUUGCUGACGAGUGGCGGACGGGUGAGUAAUGUCUGGGAAACUGCCUGAUGGAGGGGGAUAACUACUGGAAACGGUAGCUAAUACCGCAUAACGUCGCAAGACCAAAGAGGGGGACCUUCGGGCCUCUUGCCAUCGGAUGUGCCCAGAUGGGAUUAGACAGCUGGUGGGGUACACGCUGCCCUAGGCGAAGAU
rnacentral:rRNA from 1 species